GUUUUCAGGCUCUCAUUGCCACAAUCUUAGUGGAGUUUAGAUUGCCAAGUCCUCUGCUCCGGUAAAUCCCCACUACCCUAUCCAAAUACUCCGAAAGAGUCACCUUUGAGUCAAUUUCCGGCCGCUAAGACAACUGCGCGGAGCUGAUCAAACUGAGGGCGCCUGUGGGAAGAUGCAUCAAGUUCUCCUAGGAAUGUUAAGCGGCGGCGCCGCCUCCAACCUUCCCCGCCGUCAGAAGACCUCAGCUGCCAAGAAGGUAUAAUCUUCAUCCAGUUGACAUCUCUCUCCAACCGCCCCUCGCGCUAUCUCUCAAUUGGAAAAAUCGGAAUAACUGAAGCAGAUGUCAAUAUGCAGUUUAACCAAUACGUUGGAUUACUUUUCGUCAACGAAGCUUCAUAGAAAAUUAGAAUAGUUUGAUCAAUUGUGUAGUAUUAUUAUGUAAUGCUUUUUAUAGUUGUGACAUAAAUAAUGUGUACUUUGAUAUUAUUAAUAAAGUAAAUAUUUUUAUAUAA